UGAGGAAUAUUGGACAAUGGGCGAAAGCCUGAUCCAGCCAUACCGCAUGAGUGAUGAAGGCCCUAGGGUUGUAAAGCUCUUUUAGUGGGGAAGAUAAUGACGGUACCCACAGAAGAAGUCCCGGCUAACUCCGUGCCAGCAGCCGCGGUAAUACGGAGGGGGCUAGCGUUGUUCGGAAUUACUGGGCGUAAAGGGUGCGUAGGCGGCCUGAUAAGUUAAAUGUGAAAUCCUUGAGCUCAACUCAAGAAGUGCAUUUAAAACUAUCAGGCUUGAAUGUGAGAGAGGGUAAUGGAAUUUCUGGUGUAGGGGUGAAAUCCGUAGAUAUCAGGAGGAACGUCGGGGGCGAAAGCGAUUACCUGGAUCAUUAUUGACGCUGAGGCACGAAAGCGUGGGGAGCAAACA
rnacentral:rRNA from 1 species